rnacentral:snoRNA from 1 species
GCUCGGUGAUGAUAUAAAGGCUAAUGUGACUUGACCAGCUGGGUUGCACCCGCAGCUCAUUCCUGUCAUACGGGUCUGUAAUCUUGGUGGACGACGCUGAGCUGUGCGUGUUCGCUGUAAGGGCAGGCCGACAGAAAACCCCCUUUCCCGUGUCCCUGGAAAGCACAUCUUUGGGAUGUAUCAGCUCUGAGUGAGUUUUUUAUGAGCUGAUGGGGAUCUGUGGGGAUAGGAUAAGAGAGUCCAUCCAAGGUUUGGGUUGCAGGGGACAGCCCGUGUUAGAGCUGGUGAGAUGUGAGCACACAUCUUUGGUAAUCUGAUGACU